CUGAGAGGAUGACCAGCCACACUGGAACUGAGACACGGUCCAGACUCCUACGGGAGGCAGCAGUGGGGAAUAUUGCACAAUGGGCGCAAGCCUGAUGCAGCCAUGCCGCGUGUAUGAAGAAGGCCUUCGGGUUGUAAAGUACUUUCAGCGGGGAGGAAGGGAGUAAAGUUAAUACCUUUGCUCAUUGACGUUACCCGCAGAAGAAGCACCGGCUAACUCCGUGCCAGCAGCCGCGGUAAUACGGAGGGUGCAAGCGUUAAUCGGAAUUACUGGGCGUAAAGCGCACGCAGGCGGUUUGUUAAGUCAGAUGUGAAAUCCCCGGGCUCAACC
rnacentral:rRNA from 1 species